rnacentral:rRNA from 1 species
UCAUUAAUAACUUACGAAUCGCAUGGCCUUGUUGCGGCGAUGGUUCAUUCAAAUUUCUGCCCUAUCAACUUUCGAUGGUUAGGUCUUGGUAACCAUGGUUUCAACGGGUAACGGGGAAUUAGGGUUCUAUUCCGGAGAGUGAGCCUGAGAAACGGCUAACACAUCCAAGGAAGGCAGCAGGCGCGCAAAUUACCCAAUCCCGACACGGGGAGGUAGUGACAAUAAAUACUGAUCCAGGGCUCUUUUGGGUCUUGGAAUUGGAAUGAGUACAAUUUAAAUCCCUUAACGAGGAACAAUUGGAGGGCAAGUCUGGUGCCAGCAGCCGCGGUAAUUCCAGCUCCAAUAGCGUAUAUUAAAGUUGUUGCAGUUAAAAAGCUCGUAGUUGAACUUCAGGCCUGGCUGGAUGGUCUACCUAACGGUAUGUACUGUCUGGCUGGGUCUUACCUCUUGGUGAGCCGGCAUGCCCUUUACUGGGUGUGUGGGGAACCAGGACUUUUACCUUGAGAAAAUUAGAGUGUUCCAAAGCAGGCCUAUGCCCGAAUACAUUAGCAUGGAAUAAUAAAAUAGGACGUGCGGUUCUAUUUGGUGGUUUCUAGAGUCGCCGUAAUGAUUAAUAGGGAUAGGUUGGGGGCAUUAGUAUUCAGGUUGCUAGAGGUGAAAUCCUUGGAUUUACUGAAGAUAACUAUUGCGAAAGCUUUU